rnacentral:rRNA from 1 species
CCUACGGGAGGCUGCAGUGGGGAAUAUUGCACAAUGGGGGAAACCCUGAUGCAGCGACGCCGCGUGAGUGAAGAAGUAAUUCGUUACGUAAAGCUCUAUCAGCAGGGAAGAAACACUGACCUUACGGUCAGCAGACGGUACCUGAGUAAGAAGCCCCGGCCAACUACGUGCCAGCACCCGCGGUAAUACGGAGGGGGCACGCGUUAUCCGGAUUUACUGGGUGUAAAGGGAGCGUAGACGGUGCGCCAAGUCUGGAGUGAAAUGCCGCAGCUUAACUGCGGAACUGCUUUGGAAACUGGCGAACUAGAGUGCGGGAGGGGUAAGCGGAAUUCGUGGUGUAGCGGUGAAAUGCGUAGAUAUUAGGAAGAACACCGGUGGCGAAGGCAGCUUACUGGACCGAAACUGACGUUGAGGCUCGAAAGCGUGGGGAGCGAACAGGAUUAGAUACCCCAGUAGUC